rnacentral:rRNA from 1 species
AGUGAACGCUGGCGGUAGGCCUAACACAUGCAAGUCGAACGGCAGCACAGUAAGAGCUUGCUCUUACGGGUGGCGAGUGGCGGACGGGUGAGGAAUACAUCGGAAUCUACUUUUUCGUGGGGGAUAACGUAGGGAAACUUACGCUAAUACCGCAUACGACCCACGGGUGAAAGCAGGGGAUCUUCGGACCUUGCGCGAUUGAAUGAGCCGAUGUCGGAUUGGCUAGUUGGCGGGUUAAAGGCCCACCAAGGCGACGAUCCGUAGCUGGUCUGAGAGGAUGAUCAGCCACACUGGAACUGAGACACGGUCCAGACUACUACGGGAGGCAGCAGUGGGGAAUAUUGGACAAUGGGCGCAAGCCUGAUCCAGCCAUACCGCGUGUGUGAAGAAGGCCUUCGGGUUGUAAAGCCCUUUUGUUGGGAAAGAAAAGCAGCAGGUUAAUACCCCGCUGUUCUGACGGUACCCAAAGAAUAAGCACCGGCUAACUUCGUG